rnacentral:rRNA from 1 species
CCAGACUCCUACGGGAGGCAGCAGUGGGGAAUAUUGCACAAUGGGGGAAACCCUGAUGCAGCGACGCCGCGUGAGCGAUGAAGUAUUUCGGUAUGUAAAGCUCUAUCAGCAGGGAAGAAAAUGACGGUACCUGACUAAGAAGCCCCGGCUAACUACGUGCCAGCAGCCGCGGUAAUACGUAGGGGGCAAGCGUUAUCCGGAUUUACUGGGUGUAAAGGGAGCGUAGACGGCUGUGCAAGCCAGAUGUGAAAGCCCGGGGCUCAACCCCGGGACUGCAUUUGGAACUGUGUAACUGGAGUACAGGAGGGGCAGGCGGAAUUCCUGGUGUAGCGGUGAAAUGCGUAGAUAUCAGGAGGAACACCGGCGGCGAAGGCGGCCUGCUGGACUGAAACUGACGUUGAGGCUCGAAAGCGUGGGGAGCAAACAGGAUUAGAUACCCCAGUA